AAAAAAAGGCUUUAAUGAGGCCAUAAAACCAAGAGUUCUUAAGGUUAUAACUAAAGCCUCAAGUUCUCCACAGGAUGCCACAGUCACUUCAAUAAUGCUAAUGUGUUCUUGAGACAUGUAAGA
rnacentral:snoRNA from 1 species